CUACGGGAGGCAGCAGUGGGGAAUAUUGGACAAUGGGCGAAAGCCUGAUCCAGCAAUGCCGCGUGAGUGAUGAAGGCCCUAGGGUUGUAAAGCUCUUUUACCCGGGAUGAUAAUGACAGUACCGGGAGAAUAAGCUCCGGCUAACUCCGUGCCAGCAGCCGCGGUAAUACGGAGGGAGCUAGCGUUGUUCGGAAUUACUGGGCGUAAAGCGCGCGUAGGCGGUCCAUCAAGUCAGAGGUGAAAGCCCGGGGCUCAACCCCGGAACUGCCUUUGAAACUGGCGGACUAGAAUCUUGGAGAGGCGAGUGGAAUUCCGAGUGUAGAGGUGAAAUUCGUAGAUAUUCGGAAGAACACCAGUGGCGAAGGCGACUCGCUGGACAAGUAUUGACGCUGAGGUGCGAAAGCGUGGGGAGCAAACAGGAUUAGAUACCCUAGUAGUC
rnacentral:rRNA from 1 species